ACCGCUACUACAGUCUUUUGCAAACUUAGUCAUGGAGCGAUACUCAGUUGAACAACGCUUAAAAGUGAUCCAAACAUUAAUGCCGAUUUAAAAAAAAGCUUCAUGUGGGAUGGGGCGCACUUAACUGCACCCACUGCAAAAGGAAAAAAACUAUGCACCCACAACGAGUCGCGUUUGGCGUGGUUUUUCUCAUGGCGGAGCCUUCGGACCUGACUUCGGUGCCACUUGCUACACACUGGAGGCAAAGUUGGAGAAAUUAAGAAUUUGACGACGUGUUAUCACCACAUGCAUGGAUUGCUCAUAUCAAGCACAUAAGCUAAACACACAUAAGCUUUGGAUCUACUUAUAUAUUGAAUUAUAAUUUACGGGUAUUAAACAAGCUGGACAACUUGACAACAUUUUAUCCACUGGUGCGUUUUUAAUUUGGCUAUGAUCGACAUUUUACGCAUUGUUGUGGCAACAGUUCCUUUUAGAUGAAUUCCACACGUUUGAACACCUACAAAAACGCUGAAAAGGUCUUACGUGUUCCGUAACUAGAAUAAGAUAUAUAUACAAUAAAAUAAGGAAAAUUUUCGCUUAACAAGUUUUUCCUGAACAUACUCAUAUUUGUACAAACAUAUGCUCGCCACCGCACAAGAGCCCAAUCAAUCACA